rnacentral:rRNA from 1 species
UCGAAAGAUGUGCUACUACCGCAUAUUCUCUGAGGAGGAAAGUAGGGGAUCGAAAGACCUUAUGCUUUUGGAGCGGCCGAUGUCUGAUUAGCUAGUUGGUAAGGUAAUGGCUUACCAAGGCGACGAUCAGUAGUUGGUCUGAGAGGACGGCCAGCCACACUGGGACUGAGACACGGCCCAGACUCCUACGGGAGGCAGCAGUGGGGAAUUUUGGACAAUGGGGGCAACCCUGAUCCAGCCAUGCCGCGUGAGUGAAGAAGGCCUUCGGGUUGUAAAGCUCUUUCAGCCGGAACGAAACGGUCACGGCCAAUACCCGUGACUAAUGACGGUACCGGAAGAAGAAGCACCGGCUAACUACGUGCCAGCAGCCGCGGUAAUACGUAGGGUGCGAGCGUUAAUCGGAAUUACUGGGCGUAAAGCGUGCGCAGGCGGUUUUGUAAGUCAGAUGUGAAAGCCCCGGGCUUAACCUGGGAACUGC